GACGAACGCUGGCGGCGUGCCUAACACAUGCAAGUCGAGCGGAGGUAUCGAGUAGUUUACUAUGAGGUACUUUAGCGGCGGACGGGUGAGUAACACGUGGGCAACCUGCCUCGGAGUGGGGGAUAACACCGGGAAAUCGGUGCUAAUACCGCAUGACAUACACAUAUCACAUGGUAAGUGUAUCAAAGGAGAAAUCCGCUUUGAGAUGGGCCCGCGGCUGAUUAGCUAGUUGGUAAGGUAACGGCUUACCAAGGCGACGAUCAGUAGCCGACCUGAGAGGGUGACCGGCCACACUGGAACUGAGACACGGUCCAGACUCCUACGGGAGGCAG
rnacentral:rRNA from 1 species